ensembl:miRNA bta-mir-2419 bta-mir-2419
CCUCUAUGAUCGCAUCAACACUCGUCUGUUCUUAAAUAACAUUGAGAACAGGCGGGUGCUAAUACGAUCAUAGAGG